rnacentral:misc_RNA from 1 species
AAGUCGUAACAAGGUUUCCGUAGGUGAACCUGCGGAAGGAUCAUUACAGAGUAUCAUGCCCUUCGGGGUAGGUCUCCCACCCUUGUGUAUUGUUAUAAAAUGUUGCUUUGGCGGGCUGCGUGCUCUGCGCGCCUGGGUUUGCGUCCAGCGUGCCCGCCAGAGGACCCCUAAACUCUGAAUGUUUGUGUCGUCUGAGUACUAGUAAAUAGUUAAAACUUUCAACAACGGAUCUCUUGGUUCUG